CACUGCUCUUCCCACCAGUUUCCUGUAGAAGAGCAGAGGAAGACAGCCUGAGGGGCCAUCACGGCAGGAAGCCAGUGAGAGGGAAGCUCUGCUUCCCAAAUGCAGUGUGGCGUGUGCCUCUUAGGUGUCACGUGGGGUCCAGGCUGAAAGAUGUGAUGUGCAAAAGCCUCAAGUGCUCCCAUGCAGCACCAGCUGCUGCGGGGCAGCCAGGCCUCCAUGCACCAGAAGCACCAGUGCCUGGAGAGCUGCGGUGCUCAGGCUCUGGUGACCCGUCCAUUAGGAGAAGCUUCAGGACCAGCCAGCCUGGUGCACCUGCAUUGCAACAACAAAGCCAAGGGUCAGAUGGAUGCAGGGGGCAAGUGUGUAGAUUACCUGGGACUAGAAUGGCCUUAAAUCUCUGAGACAGACUGAAUGCUAAUAAACAGGUUGCUGAUCCUAAAAUAAAAUUGCAAGUUGGGUUUGGAGUUUGAUGAAAGACACAGAGAGGAAGGAAGAGGAAGAGAAAUAGAAACAUCAAUGAUGAGAGUAUUGAUCAGCUGCCUCCUGCACUUGCCCAUUGGGGAUCGAACUUGUAACUGGGGCAUGUGCCCUGACCAGGAAUCCAACUGAGCCGUGACCUCCUGGGUCAUGGGUCGACGUUCAACCACUGAGCCAUACCAGCCGGGCUUGUUAUUAUUUUAUCUUUUGACUGAAUAAGACUGGCUGAAGACAGCUGAGUGUAAAACAGAGAGGAAAUUAGCUGGGACAGGUACUGAAGGAGGUGGAGCCCCAUCAAAAGCAAAGUGUGAAAGAAAUUUCAUUCACCAAAGUCAAGGUGAAAGUCAGGCUGAACCCAGAGAGAACAGGAAGAUGAGCCUGCAGUGGGAGCUGGGAUGCAGCUAAGAAGGGAGUGCCAUUGGGGAAGACUGGCCAUCUGUAUAUCCUAUUUUGCUCAUUUUUAAAUUAGAUUGUUUGUCAUUUUUGGUGUUUAGUUGUAUACUUUUAAAAAAGAUAAGUUUUGUAUAUUAAUCCCUUAUUAGAUGUAUCAUUGGUGAAUAUGCUCUCCCAUUCAGUGGGUUGUCUUUUCA